rnacentral:rRNA from 1 species
UACGGUAGGAGACGAGCGUUGUCCGGAAUUACUGGGCGUAAAGCGCGUGUAGGCGGAUGAGCAAGUCUGCUGUGAAAGCUCCUGGCUUAAUCGGGAGUGGUCGGUGGAAACUGCUCGUCUGGAGGACGGUAGAGGUAGGUAGAAUUCCCGGUGUAGUGGUGAAAUGCGUAGAGAUCGGGAGGAAUACCUGUGGCGAAGGCGGCCUACUGGGCCGGACCUGACGCUGAGACGCGAAGGCGUGGGGAGCAAACAGG